AUUGAACGCUGGCGGCAGGCCUAACACAUGCCAGUCGAGCGGAUGAAGGGAGCUUGCUCCUGGAUUCAGCGGCGGACGGGUGAGUAAUGCCUAGGAAUCUGCCUGGUAGUGGGGGAUAACGUCCGGGAACGGGCGCUAAUACCGCAUACGUCCUGAGGGAGAAAGUGGGGGAUCUUCGGACCUCACGCUAUCAGAUGAGCCUAGGUCGGAUUAGCUAGUUGGUGGGGUAAAGGCCUACCAAGGCGACGAUCCGUAACUGGUCUGAGAGGAUGAUCAGUCACACUGGAACUGAGACACGGUCCAGACUCCUACGGGAGGCAGCAGUGGGGAAUAUUGGACAAUGGGCGAAAGCCUGAUCCAGCCAUGCCGCGUGUGUGAAGAAGGUCUUCGGAUUGUAAAGCACUUUAAGUUGGGAGGAAGGGCAGUAAGUUAAUACCUUGCUGUUUUGACGUUACCAACAGAAUAAGCACCGGCUAACUUCGUG
rnacentral:rRNA from 1 species